rnacentral:lncRNA from 1 species
NNNNNNNGUCAUUUUGCUCAGUGCAGAGUGGCCAAAAACAAGUUGUAUUGGGAAAAGGAGAAAAAGAGAGGAGAGAAAGAAGGAAAGAAAAGAGAAAAAGAAAAAAGAAAAAAGGAAGAAAAAAGAAAAAAAAAAGAAGAAAAAGAAAGGAAAAAAGGGGUGGGGGAAGCUAACAAAUCAAAAAGCAAAACAAAAACAAAAACAAAAACAAAACAACAACAACAACAAAACACGGGGGGUGGUGUAUCUUCCGAUUCUGUAUAUUUUAAGUCCCUUGACUUCCCCUGGACCUGGUCCGUGUCGCUGGUCUUCUGGGGGAGGGGCCUGCUGUGCUGAUUCUCAGGUGUUAGCACUUGGGGGAGCUGCUCUGCCCCUGCCUGGUGCAGGGCUCAGUGGGGGUUGUUCACCCCGUGAGGCCCCGGGAGGAAGCCACAGUGGCGGGGGCAGCUCUGGGACCCUGGAGUCAGCUCCCGCAGUAGCUCCGGGGCUCUCCGUCUGCAGGGCCUGGGGGCUCCCGGGCGGGGCCGCUGAUCUGCUCAGUUCCAGGCAGGAGCGUCCUCGCUGUCCUGGGCCCUCCCGGCCUCUGCCUGUCCCGGGGGAGGCCGGAUCCUGGGCUGUGUCCCGGCGCCCUGUGCUCCGGGGCCUGCGCUGUUGGAUUCGCGCUCCCGCCCCGCAGCCCCCUCCGCGGAGCCGCCGCCCGAGCCCCUCCGAGCUGUUCCCGGAGCCGCGCCGCCCCCUCCGCGGAGCUUCUUCCUCCGCCCGAGCCGCCGCCGCCGAGCUGUUCCCGGAGCCCCGCAGCCCCCUCCGCGGAGCCGCCGCCCGAGCCCCUCCGAGCUGUUCCCGGCGCCCCGCAGCCCCCUCCGCGGAGCCGCCGCCCGAGCCCCUCCGAGCUGUUCCCGGAGCCGCGCAGCCCCCUCCGCGGAGCUUCUUCCUCCGCCCGAGCCCCUCCGAGCUGCUCCGGGUCCCGCUGCGCGCUGCAGCCCUUAGGGAGCUCGGGGCAUCUCCCGGGGCGCAGUUCCUCUGUUACUGUCCCAGGGAGCCCGAGGGCAUCACCGCCUUUCUGGGGAUCCUGCUCCAACUCCCUGCGGGCCCCUUUCCGCCCGGGAAGGUCGGUGCAGCUCCUGCUCCUCCGGGACGGGGCUCUCCUGCCCUGGGGACACUCGCCCCUCGCGGGGCUCCUCCCCCUGGGAGGACUUUUGUGUCUUUAUUUCUUUUUCCCCGUCUUCCUACCUUGAUAGAAGUGCGAACUCUUCUCACUGUAGCAUCCCAGCUGGUCUCUCUUUAAAUCUCAGGCCGAAUUCGUAGAUUUUCAGGAUGAUUUGAAGGUUAUCUAGGUAAUUUUGUGGG